rnacentral:misc_RNA from 1 species
AAGGAGUCUAACAUGUCUGCGAGUGUUUGGGUGUCAAACCCGGACGCGCAAUGAAAGUGAACGGAGGAGGGAUCCGCAAGGUGCACCUUCGACCGAUCUGGAUUUUUUGUGAUGGAUUUGAGUAAGAGCAUAUAUGUUGGGACCCGAAAGAUGGUGAACUAUGCCUGAAUAGGGCGAAGCCAGAGGAAACUCUGGUGGAGGCUCGUAGCGGUUCUGACGUGCAAAUCGAUCGUCAAAUUUGGGUAUAGGGGCGAAAGACUAAUCGAACCAUCUAGUAGCUGGUUCCUGC